ACAGGCUCCCGGCGCGGCCCCUCCCGCCCUCACCGAUGGCAGCUCCGCGGCUCCGACGCCGGCAGGGAAGCUGCGUGCCUGCCCCCCGCUCCGCGCCCUUGCCCCGGUGGCGCCCCCUCUGCGCAGCUUGCCGCCUCCCCCCUCCGGCAGGGAGGGCGGGGGGCAGGCGAGGCCUCUAGGCGAGGCGGUCGUGCGUGGGGGGAAGGGUGCGUUUGGAGGAGGGAGGCAGAUGGCAAAGGGCGGCAUUGCGCCUUGGUGGGGGAGCUCUACAAACAGAGAAGUGUAUCACUUGAGCAUUCUGGAAAACUUUUUUGGAGAUUCCUGUCUACCCCAGUUGACUCUCCUGGAGCUUACACAAUAAUUGGAAGAUGCACUAAUGUGUCACAGCCCGAAAGGAGUCAUUCAGGACAACCUCCCUCCCCUUGGGACCAGCGACAAAGUUCAUGAUGCCCUUGGACUGAAUUAAGGUGAAACAACACCAGCCAACCAGUUUUAAGAUUUAUUAACACAAAGGCAUGUGCUCAAAUAGGAUCAACUAGUUAGACAAGUCCCGUGUCACACGUUUCAAACAGAUUCAACAAAACAGAAGGAAAAAAGAGAGAAAAAGGUGGAAAGAGAGAGAGAAAAAGAUAUCACCACCCGUGGAUCUGUUACAAGACAACCCUCAGAAGCUCAGAAAGAAUGUUUGAAUUUGUGUCUGUUGCCUGUCAUCCUGUCGCUGUGCACCAAGAAGAUCCUGGCUUCAGCUUCCCUGAAUCUGCUGAUCAUUUAAAAUUUAUGUAUGUAAACACAUUAUUAUAUGUUUCUAAGUGAUCAGGGAGGCUAGCGCUCAUUCAUUUUUGUAAGAUAUUGGGAGAUGCAGAACCACCACCUUUCCUCCAUAUCUUUAAAGGAAGCACUUCUGAGUGGUCUGAGCAGAGCUUCCAGGCUGGGUCCUUUGGGCUGCUCAACUUACUUCACUUUGAAUCAGGUGAUAUCUUGGCACUGAGCUGUGGAAGCUGAGUUCUUCUGAGUACAUGCAGGUGCAGAACUACUGGUCACCAGAGAGCUUAACAUCAAAUCAGAAACACUUUAAAAUUAGGUGGGCCAGAGUGAAGAUUUUUAGCUCACAGUUUUGUCCUAGGUGCCUAAUGUCCAUGCAAAUGUUGUUUUAAGUCAGUUCAGUUACCUGUACAAAGUUGUCCAGUGCUCUUUGAGAUGCCCUAAGGGUAUUUAGCCUGGCAGCCAGCUGCCACUCUAGCAGUGUACGGAUCUCCUGAAAGUCCUUUGUCACCUAGCCAGCUCCAUAUGGAUUCUUUGGACAGCAUAAGACAUCUCAAAUGGCAUGAGACACCUGUGUGUGAGCACAUGCUUUUCCCCACUUCUUUGUUUCCCAUUUUAAUGGUGGGAUUCCAUUUGAGAGGAGGACAUCUUCAUGUAAAUGCCCAUUUAACAUCUAAAUGUAAACUAAAGGUUUAAGCUUUUGUUAUAAUAAAUAGAGGUAUGGCACAUGA